rnacentral:lncRNA from 1 species
CCAUAUUCAUCAUCAUCCCCUUGAAAUAGCUCAAAAUAGCCAUUGCAAAUCAUUCUUGAUUUAUAGCUUUAAUCCAUUGUCAAUAUUGGUAUUUGAAGAUACAAUAUAUCUCCCCAUACUUUUCAAUGCUUUACAUUGCACAUUGCCACUUAACAUGUAUUAAUAAGGGAUCAAAUUUUUUUUAUUUGUUUUUAAUAUAUAGGUUUUUUUCCUUACAUUUAAAAUCCUAUCCCAAAGACCUGUACACCCUCCAAACUCCCUGCUCCUCAAACCACACACUCUGACUUCCUGGUCCUGGAAUUCCCCUGUACUGGGCCAUAUAAUCUUCACAAGACCAAGGGCCUCUCCUCCCGUUGAAGGCCGACUAGGCCAUCUUCAGCUUCAAAUGCAACUAGAGACAGAGCUCUGGGAGUGGGGAGGGGGAUAGUUCGUUCAUAUCAUUGUUCCUCCUAUAGGGUUGCAGACCCCUUUAGCUCCUAGGGUCCUUUCUCUAGCUCUUCCAUUGGGGGCCCUGUGUUCCAACCAAUAGAUGACUGUGUGCAUCUAAUUCUGUAUUUGCAAGGCACUGUCAUAGCCUCACGAGAGACAGAUAUAUCAGGGUACUGUCAGCAAAAUCUUUCAGGCAUAUGCAAUAGUGUCUGGGUUUGGUGGUUGUAUAUGGGAUGGGUCCCUGGGUGGAGGAGUCUGUGGAUGGUCUUUCCUUCCAUCUUAGCUCUGAACUUUGUCUCUGUAACUCCUUCCAAGGGUGUUUGGUUCCCCAUUCUAAGAAGGAAGAAAGUAUCCACACUUUGGUCUUCCUUCUUCAUGAGUUUCAUGUGUUUUGCAAAUUGAAUCUUGGGUAUUCUAAGUUUCUGAGUUAAUAUGCGCUAAUUAGUGAGUACAUGCUAUGUGUGUUCUUUUGGGAUUGGGUUACCUCACUCAGGAUGAUAUCCUCCAGAUCCAUCCAUUUGCCUAAGAAUUACAUGACUUAACUGUUUUUAACUGCUGAGUAGUACUCCAUUGUGUAAAUGUAUCACAUUUUCUGUACCCAUUCCUCUGUUGAGGGACAUUUGGGUUCUUUCUAUCUUCUUGUUAUUAUAAAUAAGUCUGCUAUGAACAUAAUGGAGCAUGUGUCCUUAUUACAAGUUGGAUCAUCUUCUGGGUAUAUGCACAAGAGAGGAAUUGCUGUAUCUUCUGGAAGUAAUAAAUCCAAUUUUCUGAG